rnacentral:tRNA from 1 species
GCCUCGGUGAUGUAGUGGUCAAGACGCUCGCCUGACAAUCAGGAGGGCUUGGGUUCAAUCCCACCCGAGGCG